rnacentral:rRNA from 1 species
UACGAAGGGGGCUAGCGUUGCUCGGAAUUACUGGGCGUAAAGGGAGCGUAGGCGGAUAGUUCAGUCAGAGGUGAAAGCCCAGGGCUCAACCUUGGAAUUGCCUUUGAUACUGGCUGUCUUGAGUAUGGGAGAGGUUAGCGGAACUCCGAGUGUAGAGGUGAAAUUCGUAGAUAUUCGCAAGAACACCAGUGGCGAAGGCGGCUCACUGGCCCGAUACUGACGCUGAGGUGCGAAAGCGUGGGGAGCAAACAGG